rnacentral:SRP_RNA from 1 species
GGAAGGAUUUCGCGUGGCGUACAUCCUGUGAACUCCCCCAGGGCAGGAAUGCAGCAAGGGUCAGCAGGCUCUGACGGGUGCGCGGAAUCCCUUUACA